rnacentral:misc_RNA from 1 species
GGCAAUCUAAGAAAAAACUGAAAGAAAGGGAGAUAACAACUACUAAGGGAAACAACUGUUACACUACCUUGUGACUGUUCAAGGACUAUUGAACAACAAAAACUGUGACAAACUUCCAUUUUUCAUUCCUUUAUAAAUAAUUUAAGGGUAUAGGUAUGCUUUAAUAUUGAAAGCUAACUAUUUAUUAUGUGUAUGUAGCAGUUUUCUUAUUUUAACAGUCAAUUCAAAAUCAAAUGUCAGAGGUAAAAUAUUCUAUUUCUAUUUUAAGUCGAAAUGAAUCGCCUUAUGGUUAAAAAUAUGUGGUGAAAAUUUUGAUUUGUUGUAAAAAAAAAAUUUUAAGUUUUGCAUGUGGCAAUUCUAGUAUUGUCCUAUUACAUGUGACAGUUCACCCAUUCAACAUUUCUGUGAUAAGUGUCAAAAGCCUGUAAGAGGUUUAGAAUCAAGAGUCUAAAUUUUAAUUAGGUUAUGAAAUAUCAAUGAAGAAUAUGUAUAUUUGUGUCAUGUGUAGAGCUAGCUAAUCACAAUAUACAUACAACUUAAGAGAAAUUCUCAAUGUCAUGCUUUUCUGUUUUUUGUUCUUAAAAAAAGUUUUUAAUUGUAAUUAAGGUAAUAUAUUUAUUUCAUCAUUUGUACAGACUGUAUUGUACAUAACGACAUAUAAUAGAACAAAAUAAAAUUUUGUGUUC